rnacentral:rRNA from 1 species
GGAGUUUGGACCGUGUCUCAGUUCCAAUGUGGGGGACCUUCCUCUCAGAACCCCUACUGAUCGCGGGCUCGGUGGGCCGUUACCCCGCCGACAACCUAAUCAGACGCAUCCCCAUCCCAUAGCGAUCAAUCUUUGCUCCAACUUAGAUGUCUGCAUUGGAGAACAUAGGGAAUUAAUCCGACUUUCGCCGGGCUAUUCUCUACUAUGGGGAAGGUUGGAUACGCGUUACUCACCCGUGCGCCGGUCGCCAUCAUCGGUUGCAAGCAACCGACAUGCUGCCCCUCGACUUGCAUGUGUUAAGCCUGUAGCUAGCGUUCAUC